rnacentral:rRNA from 1 species
GAUGAACGCUGGCGGCGUGCUUAACACAUGCAAGUCGAACGGUGAAGCAGAGCUUGCUCUGUGGAUCAGUGGCGAACGGGCGAGUAACACGUGAGCAACCUGCCCCUGACUCUGGGAUAAGCGCUGGAAACGGCGUCUAAUACCGGAUAUGAGCUGCGAUCGCAUGGUCAGCAGUUGGAAAGUUUUUUCGGUCUGGGAUGGGCUCACGGCCUAUCAGCUUGUUGGUGAGGUAAUGGCUCACCAAGGCGUCGACGGGUAGCCGGCCUGAGAGGGUGACCGGCCACACUGGGACUGAGACACGGCCCAGACUCCUACGGGAGGCAGCAGUGGGGAAUAUUGCACAAUGGGCGAAAGCCUGAUGCAGCAACGCCGCGUGAGGGAUGACGGCCUUCGGGUUGUAAACCUCUUUUAGCAGGGAAGAAGCGAAAGCGACGGUACCUGCAGAUAAAGCGCCGGCUAACUACGUGCCAGCCGCCGCCGUAACAC